GUUGUAUGGUUAAGUGAUUAAGCGUAGACGGUGGAUGCCUUGGCAGUCAGAGGCGAUGAAGGACGUACUAACCUGCGAAAAGCGAUGGUGAGCUGGUAAGAAGCAUUUGAGCCAUCGAUGUCCGAAUGGGGAAACCCACCUGCAUAAGCAGGUAUCUUAGCGUGAAUACAUAGCGCUAAGAGGCGAACUCGGGGAACUGAAACAUCUAAGUACCCGAAGGAAAAGAAAUCAAUUGAGAUUCCGGCAGUAGCGGCGAGCGACCCCGGAGCAGCCCUUAAGCGGCUUAGGCGUUAGGUGAACAGGUUGGAAAACCUGGCAAUAAAGGGUGAUAGCCCCGUAACCGACGGCGCCUUAGGCGUGAAAACGAGUAAGACGGGACACGUGAUAUCUUGUCUGAACAUGGGGGGACCAUCCUCCAAGGCUAAAUACUCCUGACUGACCGAUAGUGAACCAGUACCGUGAGGGAAAGGCGAAAAGAACCCCUGUGAGGGGAGUGAAAUAGAACCUGAAACCGUCUACGUACAAGCAGUGGGAGCCCCAUCACUAAGACACUUCAUCUUAGUGAGACGCUAUCACUUUGUUGAUUGGGUUAACCACGCGCAGCGUGGGUCAACCGCCCAAUCCAGCAGAGGUGACUUAGUGAUGGGGUGACCGCGUACCUUUUGUAUAAUGGGUCAGCGACUUAAUGUAAGUAGCUAGGUUAACCGCAUAGGGGAGCCGUAGGGAAACCGAGUCUUAACUGGGCGACAGUUGCUUGCAUUAGACCCGAAACCGAGUGAUCUAGCCAUGGGCAGGUUGAAGGUUGAGUAACAUCAACUGGAGGACCGAACUCACUAACGUUGAAAAGUUAGGAGAUGACCUGUGGCUAGGGGUGAAAGGCCAAUCAAACUCGGAGAUAGCUGGUUCUCCCCGAAAGCUAUUUAGGUAGCGCCUCGGACGAACACUACUGGGGGUAGAGCACUGUUAAGGCUAGGGGGUCAUCCCGACUUACCAACCCUUUGCAAACUCCGAAUACCAGUAAGUGCUAUCCGGGAGACACACGGCGGGUGCUAACGUCCGUCGUGGAGAGGGAAACAACCCAGACCGCCAGCUAAGGUCCCCAAGUUAUCGCUAAGUGGGAAACGAUGUGGGAAGGCUCAGACAGCCAGGAUGUUGGCUUAGAAGCAGCCAUCAUUUAAAGAAAGCGUAAUAGCUCACUGGUCGAGUCGGCCUGCGCGGAAGAUGUAACGGGGCUAAGCGAUACACCGAAGCUGCGGCAAUGUCCUUAUGGAUAUUGGGUAGGGGAGCGUUGUGUAAGCUGUUGAAGGUGUGCUGAGAGGCAUGCUGGAGGUAUCACAAGUGCGAAUGCUGACAUGAGUAACGAUAAAGGGGGUGAAAAACCUCCUCGCCGGAAGACCAAGGGUUCCUGUCCAACGUUAAUCGGGGCAGGGUAAGUCGGCCCCUAAGGCGAGGCCGAAAGGCGUAGUCGAUGGGAAACGGGUUAAUAUUCCCGU
rnacentral:rRNA from 1 species